CCGUAACAGCACUAAAUCACUCAGUUUGUGCAAUGAAGAAGAACACAACUCGCUGCAGCAAACAAUGUGCAGUGCAAGAUGCAUUGAUGCAUUGACCACUGACACGUCAAACACAUUUGUAGCCCUGGGCUCCUCCUGGGGCUGCACCUGCCUGAGCAUCA